GAUGAACGCUGGCGGCGUGCCUAAUACAUGCAAGUCGAGCGAACGGACGAGAAGCUUGCUUCUCUGAUGUUAGCGGCGGACGGGUGAGUAACACGUGGAUAACCUACCUAUAAGACUGGGAUAACUUCGGGAAACCGGAGCUAAUACCGGAUAAUAUUUUGAACCGCAUGGUUCAAUAGUGAAAGACGGUCUUGCUGUCACUUAUAGAUGGAUCCGCGCUGCAUUAGCUAGUUGGUAAGGUAACGGCUUACCAAGGCAACGAUGCAUAGCCGACCUGAGAGGGUGAUCGGCCACACUGGAACUGAGACACGGUCCAGACUCCUACGGGAGGCAGCAGUAGGGAAUCUUCCGCAAUGGGCGAAAGCCUGACGGAGCAACGCCGCGUGAGUGAUGAGGGUCUUCGGAUCGUAAAACUCUGUUAUUAGGGAAGAACAUAUGUGUAAGUAACUGUGCACAUCUUGACGGUACCUAAUCAGAAAGCCACGGCUAACUACGUG
rnacentral:rRNA from 1 species